rnacentral:rRNA from 1 species
CCUACGGGAGGCAGCAGUGAGGAAUAUUGGUCAAUGGUCGGGAGACUGAACCAGCCAAGCCGCGUGAGGGAGGAAGGUACAGAGUAUCGUAAACCUCUUUUGUCAGGGAACAAAGACUGGGACGCGACCCCGGAUGAGAGUACCUGAAGAAAAAGCAUCGGCUAACUCCGUGCCAGCAGCCGCGGUAAUACGGAGGAUGCGAGCGUUAUCCGGAUUUAUUGGGUUUAAGGGGUGCGCAGGCGGUGUGUAAAGUCAGCGGUAAAAGCCCGGGGCUCAACCCCGCCCCGCCGUUGAAACUGGGAGUCUCGAGUGGGAGAGAGGUAGGCGGAAUGCGCGGUGUAGCGGUGAAAUGCAUAGAUAUCGCGCAGAACUCCGAUUGCGAAGGCAGCAUGCCGGCGCCACACUGACGCUGAGGCACGAAAGCGUGGGUAUCGAACAGGAUUAGAUACCCCUGUAGUC